GGGCUGCAGUAUUUUGACUGUACAAAGGUAGCAUAAUCAAUAGUCUCUUAAUUGGUGACUUGUAUGAAAGAUUGGAUGAGAUAUAUACUGUCUCUAAUUAAUUUAUUGAAAUUAAUUUUUUAGUAAAAAAGCUAAAAUAAUUUUAAAAGACGAGAAGACCCUAUAGAGUUUAAUAAUUUAUUUAAUUAUUAUUAAUAUAUAAUUUUUAAAAUUAAAAUUAAUGGAAUUAUUUUGUUGGGGUGAUAAAAAAAUUAAAUUAACUUUUUUUAAUUGUUGACAUUAAUUUAUGAAUAAAUGAUCCAUUUUUAGUGAUUAAAAGAAAAAAUUACCUUAGGGAUAACAGCGUAAUUUUUUUUUUUAGUUCAAAUAGGAAAAAAAGUUUGCGACCUCGAUGU
rnacentral:rRNA from 1 species